rnacentral:rRNA from 1 species
AUGCACGCUGGCGGCGUGCCUAAUACAUGCAAGUCGAGCGAACAGACGAGGAGCUUGCUCCUCUGACGUUAGCGGCGGACGGGUGAGUAACACGUGGAUAACCUACCUAUAAGACUGGGAUAACUUCGGGAAACCGGAGCUAAUACCGGAUAAUAUAUUGAACCGCAUGGUUCAAUAGUGAAAGACGGUUUUGCUGUCACUUAUAGAUGGAUCCGCGCCGCAUUAGCUAGUUGGUAAGGUAACGGCUUACCAAGGCAACGAUGCGUAGCCGACCUGAGAGGGAGAUCGGCCACCCUGGAACUGAGACACGGCCCAGACUCCUACGGGAGGCAGCAGUAGGGAAUCUUCCGCAAGGGGCGAAAGCCUGACGGAGCAACGCCGCGUGAGUGAUGAAGGUCUUCGGAUCGGAAAACUCUGUUAUUAGGGAAGAACAAAUGUGUAAGUAACUAUGCACGUCUUGACGGUACCUAAUCAGAAAGCCACGGCUAACUACGUG